GUGAGCUGACCGCCCCUACCAUGGUAAAAGGCAGUAGUGGAGGGAAAGGAGACGGAGGGGAUGCUAAGGGCCAAAGUGAAGGCUUCGCCGGAGAAAGAUUAGCAGACCAGCCAAGACUUUCGUGUUUCUCGGAUCCACAGACCCGUAGAUCAUGAUAAUUGUGAGAACAAUUCAUCAGGAAAGCCAACUAUCGAGUUUCUGACGCUGAUGAGAACCGGAAACUCGUCGAUCGAAACGGAGAGUAGGAAAAUCGUCCGAAUCACCAUCUGUCAUGGCGGAUUGUUAACUCGGUUAUAGCGCACGCAUAUCAAAUCGUUCGUGACGUACCUUAGCACGAAAUGGGCAGCGCAGUAAUGCGAUUUGGAUAUAUGGAGAGUCCUCUGGGAUAUUACCAGUACAGAGCUUUCUCCCCUGCGAUACGACAAAUGAUAUGCAUAUGUAAAUACGGUGACCGAGCAUUACGAAUCGGCCUAACGCCGGGAAAUCUGAUUUGCAAACCUUCCUACGAAUAUUCGAGCGCAUACGCCUUUACUACUUGUGAUUACUUUACAUUUUCCAAAAUCUUUUUCAAUCUCGCGCAGUAAAAUUUUCUUCUUAAUGAUACAAGCUGAAGCCAGUAAACGUUUAAUUAUAAUAUUCGACUACAAUUCUAUCCUUCUUAUCUAAAAUUGUACUCGCAAUAAAUAACACGAUCAAAAUAUGUUUCUCUGUGUCAGCAUAUUUCUCAAUUAGAACGUACUUACGCUAGUCUAAGUAAUCCGCACCAGACGCGCUUCGUCGAGAAACGUCUGAAACGGAAAACUGCAGAGAAGAGAAAAACACGGGUUUCUCUGAAUUGAUCCAGUGACCUCGAAACAACACAACCAGAGAGAAAGGUCCAAGGGAGUUUGGUUUUAUCUCACGGUCUUUCACUGUAUCAGCGGCGCUCGGAUGAUCCCGUUAACAGGAUCAAGACUCGUGGCAUAGACGAAGGGUUCUUGUUAUUCGCAAUCGCCUUCUCUGGUCCUUAGGGACGCGAAAUCCCCUCUGGAUGCUCGGAAAAUUACCAGGAACGCUAAGAUAUAUUCAUUUGCAGAAUACACAAUGAACGAAAUUACUCACUGCCAUCUUUCUCAUUAACUUUUUCUUAAUGAAAUUAAAUUGAAAUUAAAUUAAAUAACCAUCGACUUAUUGAGCGUCGAUCGAGACUUGCACUUUCUCGAGUCGCGUUUUCUUCAAGAUCGUGUCCAUGCUUUUCGAAUACGAUCUUGAUGCAAAAAUUAUUCUUCGUUCGACUGUAAUUCUAUUAUUCGACGAACAUAUUAUGCAAAAGUGCACGAAUUUAGAUCUUGGUCGUUUCAUACGCUAGUUAAUAUCUACAAACAGUAAUCGAGAAUUUUAAACACGACUGCAUUACGAUACCCAGAACAAACGUUAUAAUUAGUGAAGCGAAGCAAACGUCUUAGAUACGACUCGUAAUAAUACGAGUACAUAUCUACCUGUAAGACAUAGUGCAGACUUUCGACCCUCGUCCCAAAGUACCAACCCUUAGCCCUUGCCGUCGUACUAAUGAUUUGCAAACAUCGACCCUCCGCUCGUUUCGCUCAUUACAAAGUUUUUUCCCGGCGUGUUGCGCAUGGACAAGAUGAAAGUGUUCCAGGAGUUUGGAAAGAAUAAGAAAAUGAAAUUGAACAAUCUCGUUUAGUCUUUUGGUCUUGAUCGUUACAAUAGACCGUAAAAUUGAUCACCAUAAUUCAUAUUUAACUCCUUGUAAACAUUACUAUUACAAUUUAUUUCCCAAGUCUAACGUUCCAAAUAUCUUUCAAUAAAAAUCAAAAUUUGGAGAGUAGAA